rnacentral:tRNA from 1 species
GGAGAGAUUGGUGAGCGGUCAAAGCCAGGGCACUGUAAAUGCUCCGUUAAUUCUUCGUAGGUUCAAAUCCUGCUCUCUCCACCA